rnacentral:tRNA from 1 species
GGGGGGCUAGCUCAGUUGGCUAGAGCGCCUGCCUUGCAAGCAGGAGGUCAUGGGUUCGACUCCCAUGCUCUCCACCA